AGCCAAUGAACUUGUUAAAGUAUUUGCCUUGAAAGUAAAAAAAAGAAGUAAUAAUUCUUCUAUUGGCUU
rnacentral:tRNA from 1 species